rnacentral:rRNA from 1 species
UACAGAGGGGGCAAGCGUUGUUCGGAAUUACUGGGCGUAAAGGGCGCGUAGGCGGCCUGUUAAGUCGGACGUGAAAUCCCUCGGCUCAACCGGGGAACUGCGUCCGAUACUGGCGGGCUUGAAUUCGGGAGAGGGAUGUGGAAUUCCAGGUGUAGCGGUGAAAUGCGUAGAUAUCUGGAGGAACACCUAUUGCGAAGGCAGCUCGCUGGGACGUAACUGACGCUGAGACGCGAAAGCGUGGGGAGCAAACAGG